UACGGAGGGUGCGAGCGUUGUCCGGAAUCAUUGGGCGUAAAGGGUGCGUAGGUGGCGCGCUAAGUCAGGUGUGAAAUUUCGGAGCUUAACUCCGAAACUGCAUUUGAUACUGGCGUGCUUGAGGACUGGAGAGGAGACUGGAAUUCACGGUGUAGCAGUGAAAUGCGUAGAUAUCGUGAGGAAGACCAGUGGCGAAGGCGGGUCUCUGGACAGUUCCUGACACUGAGGCACGAAGGCCAGGGGAGCAAACGGG
rnacentral:rRNA from 1 species